UGAGCACCUCAACGUCAACACCUUUGAGCUCCUCAACAACUAGUGCUAUUACUCAAAACACACCUUCAACCAGUUUAGACACAUCAUUAGCACCUACAGAACUACCCAACUGUGCAUCGGAAAAUUUUGCUGAUAUGAGAUCAUCUUGUUGUUUGUUGGAACCGGUUAAAAACUUAGUAAACAUCGCAAAAGGUGAAAGGACUUGCAAUUGGAACUCGAGCCUUUUAGGUUCCUUCAAUAAUUACACUUUAAAUAAGCUUCAAAACAAGACAUUGAACAACUUGGUUAUUUUUUCUUCAAAUCAAGUCCAGCGCACUUUAGUCGAUAAUGCAUGUUUUGUGAAUUGCUUCUUGAAAUCAAAAUCUGUGAUGAACAAAAAAGGCACUGUCGCCCUUAAUGAUUUGAAGCGCUUCUUGAGCAA